UGGAUCGAUGAUGACCAGUGAUGGUGUAUGAGUCAUAUAUGAUAAAUACGUGUCUGGAACUCUGAGGUCCCA
rnacentral:snoRNA from 1 species